rnacentral:rRNA from 1 species
GAUGAACGCUGGCGGCGUGCCUAAUACAUGCAAGUCGAGCGGACUUUUCGGGAGCUUGCUUCCGGAAAGUCAGCGGCGAACGGGUGAGUAACACGUGGGUAACCUGCCUGCAAGACCGGGAUAACUUCGGGAAACAAGAGCUAAUACCGGAUGAUCUCCUUUUCCGCAUGGAGAAGGACUGAAAGGACGGCGCAAGCUGUCGCUUGCAGAUGGGCCCGCGGCGCAUUAGCUAGUUGGUGAGGUAACGGCUCACCAAGGCGACGAUGCGUAGCCGACCUGAGAGGGUGAUCGGCCACACUGGGACUGAGACACGGCCCAGACUCCUACGGGAGGCAGCAGUAGGGAAUCUUCCGCAAUGGACGAAAGUCUGACGGAGCAACGCCGCGUGAGCGAUGAAGGCCUUCGGGUCGUAAAGCUCUGUUGUCAGGGAAGAACAAGUGCGGGAGUAACUGCCCGCACCUUGACAGUACCUGACCAGAAAGCCACGGCUAACUACGUGCCAGCAGCCGCGGUAAUACGUAGGUGGCAAGCGUUGUCCGGAAUUAUUGGGCGUAAAGCGCGCGCA